UCUGGGCAGCCAGGUUUGUCUGUGACGACCGGUCUCUAUAGCCAGACUGUCCUCUCUGGGCAGCCAGGUUUGUCUGUGACGACCGGUCUCUAUAGCCAGACUGUCCUCUCUGGGCAGCCAGGUUUGUCUGUGACGACCGGUCUCUAUAGCCAGACUGUCCUCUCUGGGCAGCCAGGUUUGUCUGUGACGACUGGUCUCUAUAGCUAGACUGUCCUCUCUGGGCAGCCAGGUUUGUCUGUGACGACCGGUCUCUAUAGCCAGACUGUCCUCUCUGGGCAGCCAGGUUUGUCUGUGACGACUGGUCUCUAUAGCCAGACUGUCCUCUCUGGGCAGCCAGGUUUGUCUGUGACGACCGGUCUCUAUAGCCAGACUGUCCUCUCUGGGCAGCCAGGUUUGUCUGUGACGACUGGUCUCUAUAGCCAGACUGUCCUCUCUGGGCAGCCAGGUUUGUCUGUGACGACUGGUCUCUAUAGCUAGACUGUCCUCUCUGGGCAGCCAGGUUUGUCUGUGACGACCGGUCUCUAUAGCCAGACUGUCCUCUCUGGGCAGCCAGGUUUGUCUGUGACGACCGGUCUCUAUAGCCAGACUGUGCUCUCUGGGCAGCCAGGUUUGUCUGUGACGACCGGUCUCUAUAGCCAGACUGUGCUCUCUGGGCAGCCAGGUUUGUCUGUGACGACUGGUCUCUAUAGCCAGACUGUCCUCUCUGGGCAGCCAGGUUUGUCUGUGACGACCGGUCUCUAUAGCCAGACUGUCCUCUCUGGGCAGCCAGGUUUGUCUGUGACGACCGGUCUCUAUAGCCAGACUGUGCUCUCUGGGCAGCCAGGUUUGUCUGUGACGACCGGUCUCUAUAGCCAGACUGUCCUCUCUGGGCAGCCAGGUUUGUCUGUGACGACCGGUCUCUAUAGCCAGACUGUCCUCUCUGGGCAGCCAGGUUUGUCUGUGACGACUGGUCUCUAUAGCCAGACUGUCCUCUCUGGGCAGCCAGGUUUGUCUGUGACGACUGGUCUCUAUAGCCAGACUGUCCUCUCUGGGCAGCCAGGUUUGUCUGUGACGACCGGUCUCUAUAGCCAGACUGUCCUCUCUGGGCAGCCAGGUUUGUCUGUGACGACCGGUCUCUAUAGCCAGACUGUGCUCUCUGGGCAGCCAGGUUUGUCUGUGACGACCGGUCUCUAUAGCCAGACUGUCCUCUCUGGGCAGCCAGGUUUGUCUGUGACGACCGGUCUCUAUAGCCAGACUGUGCUCACUGAAUCUGUACCUAGUCAAUGUUUUCCUCAGUUUUCUAUCAGUCACAGUGGUCAGAUAGUCUGACACCAUGUACUGUCUGAAGCAUUGAAGUUUACUUAGAUUUUUUUGUGGUGUCUUUCCAAUAGGUGAUGUAUUUUUCUUUUUGCUUUGUGAUGAUUUGGUUGGGCCAGAUUUUCUGAGUGUUGUCCUGAGACUCUAUGGGGUUGGUUUGGGUUAGUGAACUGAGCCUCAGAACCAGCUGGCUGAGGGGACUCUUCUCUUGUUUCAUCUCUUGACACUGCAGAGCUGUGUGAUGGAAUGUUUUGGGGUCACUUGUUUUUAGAUGUGAUGUCUCUUUUCUCUAUUUGAAUGAGGAGGGUUUCGGCCCCAUUCUGCUCUACAGGCGUUAUUUGGAGUUUUUCUUUGCACUUGCAACACAGUCUGGUAAAACUCUGCAUGCAGUAUUUCCAUUGGAUGUUUGUCCCAUUUGGUGAAUGAAUGAUUAGUUGGUGGACCCCAUACUUCACUGCCUUAUAGAGCAACUGGUUCAACAACUGAUGAGCUUUUUGUUGUUGCCAGAUUCUAAUAGAAAUUUAGAUUUUAAUGUUCCUUUUAACGGCAUAGAAGGCUCUUCUUGCUUUGUCUCUCAGC